AUUCACACUUCUCUUUUAAUGAAGUGGUGUGUGUGUAUGCGUGUGAAUAACAUUCAGAUACAUAUUAAGAAAAAUGCAUGUGCGUGUAUGUGUAAAUGAGAAUAAGUAUAUACAUUGUGUAUAAUACAUUCUGCAAUGUGUAUUACAUAGAAUAUUAGAUAGAAUUCCACUGUAUUAAAUGGAAUUUGAUUGGAUUAAUUCUAUUGUAUUAGAUAGAAUAGUUUUAAGAGAAAAAAGUAAACAAAAUAAACUGUAUAGGUGCAACACGCAGGUAUGGUAUCUCAUCUGAUCUGCAGUUGUCAAUGUAAUUGAAAGUGCAUCAAGAUGAAAUAUCCCAUAAUGGCUUCCAUAUUUCUGAAUACAUAUGAGAAACUUAGCUUAAACAGUCACGUCCACAUGUGACCAUCCAGCAUUUAGCUUCUUCUCCACCUGAACAAUGGAGCCUACAAACAAAACUCACCCUUUAUUCAGAAUUGCUGGGUGACCACCAGUCUCCCAAUUAGUAGGCAUAACUCAAAUGUUCAAGACUUCCUUUCAGAAUUGAAAACACUGCAUGCAUGCAUGUUUGUUAUUGCAAAAUCAAUUGAUAAAAGCAUGCCUGCUUGAAUGAACUGUCAUAGAUCAAAUGUCACAUAUAAAAACUGCCAGAUCACAUUCACCCUAUUUUUUGGAGAGCUAGUUCACACAAGCCAGCUGCCAAGUUUCUGCUCUGAGUAAUUAAGCAAUGAAUCAUCUUCAAAGAAUGUCAUACAAGCAUCAUCUUUAGCUCUAUGCUUCCUGCUUUCCUCACUUCUACCCAAGGCAUUCUGGAACAUUUUCAAGUAGAAGAACUUGCUUUGGUUACCUUGGUGAUAAACUAAAGCUAAAAAUUACACAUAAUUGUUGCUGAUGUCACUGUUCUCACAUUGUUUCCAAGGCAACAAAGUACUUCCUUUAAUGAUGAUGUUUUAUUUUUUCCUCUCUAUUGGAAGGCUUUCCCCCGAAAUGGUUUAGAAGAGCAGAAAUCUAUCUAGGUUGAGUUUAGCUAAUAAGUUUGUAUCUCAAGCACAUUAAGAGCUUAGCGAUUUCUUCAUGCAAGCAUUGCUGUCCAAUACAAUUGGCAAACCUUAGCACACUUAAGAGUGGUCCUGGAACUCUUGCUGAAGGCCAACAAAAUAUGCAGCUUUAGUGCUGUACUCUUCCAUCAGAUUCCUAUUGAUCAGUUGAAGGAGAGGAAUGAUUGGCUUGCUGGUUUAUCACCAUUCCAAGCUUCAUUUUCUUUCAAUGUGUUUGACACAACUGACAGGAAUGAGGAAUGAGAUUACACUGAGAAGCAUCCCAGAUGCCACUAACAACUGUCAAUGACACACCUGAGUUUUCACAGCCAAACAACUUAAAGUGUUGUACACCAAUGAGACUGAAGAUGACAAGGAGAAGAGAAAAGCAAAGGAGAAGAACAUCAAAAAUAAGA